rnacentral:rRNA from 1 species
AGGAUAAACGCUGGCGGCGUGCCUUACGCAUGCAAGUCGAACGGUGCCUUUCGGGGCACAGUGGCGGACGGGUGAGUAACACGUACGUGACCUGACGCGAAGCGGGGGAUACCCGUCCGAAAGGGCGGCUAAUACCGCAUGUGGAUCGUGGUGGCAUCACCGAGGAUCCAAAGCCUUCGGGCACUUCAGGAUGGGCCCGCGGCCUAUCAGCUAGUUGGAGGGGUAACGGCCCACCAAGGCUUCGACGGGUAGCUGGUCUGAGAGGACGAUCAGCCGGAUUGGGACUGAGAUACGGCCCAGACUCCUACGGGGGGCAGCAAUUAGGAAUCUUGCACAAUGGGCGAAAGCCUGAUGCAGCGACGUCGCGUGGGGGACGAAAUCUUUCGGGAUGUAAACCCCUUUUGAGUGGGAAGAACAAUGACGGUACCACUCGAAUAAGCCCGGCUAACUACGUGCCAGCAGCCGC